rnacentral:rRNA from 1 species
AUGCACGCUGGCGGCGUGCCUAAUACAUGCAAGUCGAGCGAACAGACGAGGAGCUUGCUCCUCUGACGUUAGCGGCGGACGGGUGAGUAACCCGUGGAUAACCUACCUAUAAGACUGGGAUAACUUCGGGAAACCGGAGCUAAUACCGGAUAAUAUAUUGAACCGCAUGGUUCAAUAGUGAAAGACGGUUUUGCUGUCACUUAUAGAUGGAUCCGCGCCGCAUUAGCUAGUUGGUAAGGUAACGGCUUACCAAGGCGACGAGGCGUAGCCGACCUGAGAGGGUGAUCGGCCACACUGGAACUGAGACACGGUCCAGACUCCUACGGGAGGCAGCAGUAGGGAAUCUUCCGCAAUGGGCGAAAGCCUGACGGAGCAACGCCGCGUGAGUGAUGAAGGUCUUCGGAUCGUAAAACUCUGUUAUUAGGGAAGAACAAAUGUGUAAGUAACUAUGCACGUCUUGACGGUACCUAAUCAGAAAGCCACGGCUAACUACGUG